GUAAAGAGGUAAAAAAUCAAGGAAAGAAAAGGAAAAGAAAAGAAAAAGGAAAGAAGAAUUACUUGUCGGUAAGCGUAGCCAAGGAUGCUCGAGAAGUUCCUCCAUUGUUGCGCGAUCUUCUUCUAUUAACAAAUUUAAAAAUGAGGGUGAUAAGGGUGGAGGAGGAAUGUAGGGAGGAAGAAAAAGAGGAAGUGGAGAAACAAAGAGAUGAAGAGAUGAAUAGUGUCAUUAAUUAC
rnacentral:ribozyme from 1 species